rnacentral:tRNA from 1 species
GCGGGGGUUGCAGAGCCUGGUCAAAUGCGUGGGACUUAAGAUCCUAUCCCUUAGGGGUCCGUGGGUUCGAAUCCCACCCCCCGCA